rnacentral:lncRNA from 1 species
CCAGAUAAAGCAACAUACAUAAUGCAACUGGAAAACAAAAAACAACAACUACAUAGAUAAGUAGUAAUGACAUUGUCAUAUAUUUUGAACCCACAAAAACUUACGGUCACUUGUUCAAGACGGAUUAACAUCGAAAAAAGCAAAACAUUAAGUUUCAUCAUGCCAUUGCAUAACAUUGGAAAACAAAAAACAAUAACUACAUAAUGCAACUACUUCUUCCCACCCC